rnacentral:rRNA from 1 species
UACAUAGGUCGCAAGCGUUGUCCGGAUUUACUGGGCGUAAAGAGCGCGCAGGCGGCUGGUCAAGUCCGAUGUGAAAUCUCCCGGCUCAACUGGGAAACUGCAUCGGAAACUGAUCGGCUUGAAGAUGGGAGAGGGUAGUGGAAUUCCCGGUGUAGUGGUGAAAUGCGUAGAUAUCGGGAGGAACACCAGUGGCGAAGGCGACUACCUGGCCCAUUCUUGACGCUGAGGCGCGAAAGCUAGGGGAGCGAACGGG